rnacentral:rRNA from 1 species
AGGACGAACGCUGGCGGCGUGCUUAACACAUGCAAGUGGAGCGACGAACCAGGGCUUGCCCUGGGGCAGAGCCGCGAACGGGUGAGUAACACGUGGGUUGCCUACCCCGAUGACCGGGACAACCCGAGGAAACUCGGGCUAAUACCGGAUGUGGUCCUCGGACUAAAGGAAGCUUCGGCCUCCGCAUCGGGAUGGGCCCGCGGCGCAUUAGCUUGUUGGUGGGGUAACGGCCUACCAAGGCGACGAUGCGUAGCUGGUCUGAGAGGACGAUCAGCCACACUGGGACUGAGACACGGCCCAGACUCCUACGGGAGGCAGCAGUGGGGAAUCUUGCGCAAUGCGCGAAAGCGUGACGCAGCAACGCCGCGUGGGGGAAGAAGGCCUUCGGGUUGUAAACCUCUUUCAGUUGGGACGAAGGCCGCGCGGUUAAUAGCCGUGGCGGUUGACGGUACCUUCAGAAGAAGCCCGGCUAACUACGUGCCAGCAGCCGC